CUUCAGCGAACCCAGCCACAGCGGCGUGCCGUCGACACGUGCCCGGCCGUAGGUGGCCAGCAGCGCCUCCGCCUC
rnacentral:antisense_RNA from 1 species